UACGUAGGCAGCGAGCGUUGUUCGGAGUUACUGGGCGUAAAGGGUGUGUAGGCGGUUGUUUAAGUUUGGUGUGAAAUCUCCCGGCUCAACUGGGAGGGUGCGCCGAAUACUGAAUGACUUGGAGUGCGGGAGAGGAGAGUGGAAUUCCUGGUGUAGCGGUGAAAUGCGCAGAUAUCAGGAAGAACACCUAUGGCGAAGGCAGCUCUCUGGGACGGUACUGACGCUGAGACGCGAAAGCGUGGGGAGCGAACAGG
rnacentral:rRNA from 1 species